CGCGCGGGCAGGGCUGAGGGGCUCGCCACCCCUCCCCCCUUCAGGGGGCCCGAGGGCGCAAGGCGGGGGCCAGUAACCUCGCUGCGGGGCUCAUGGGGCGGCGCGGUCCCCGCGGCACGGUGAUACCCCGGCCCGCGGGGCCUGCGGUGGCCGAGGGGCCGCUGGAGGGCGGCCUCCACGGCCUUAACCGGGCUAACCCGGCCAGGCCCGGAAGGGAGCAACCUAACCCGGCCGUAGGCGUUCGCGGCGCCGGGGCUGGAGGGGCCACGGGGGUCAAGGCCGCGCCGCUCCAUGGCAACGCGGCGGGGGUCCGCGCG
rfam:Tncultured Acidilobus sp. JCHS scf1118686607549, whole genome shotgun sequence.